GGGGGGAUCAUUAAACUUGAAACUUGGUGGUACUACUCUUGUGGUCCCACCAUUUUUUAUACAACAAAUCACCGUUUUCUGUUGAAACCACUUUUAACAAAACACAAACAACAAGAUUAACCCAAUUCGAUCGAUUCAUUUUUGUAAACCACAAACUUGUGUAGUGUUCAAUCACAGCACAACUUAAAGAAACAAAAAAAAAACGACUCGCAACAACGGAUAUCUUGGUUCUCGCAACGAUGAAGAACGCAGCGAACUGCGAAACGUAAUGCGAAUUGCAGAAUUCAGUGAAUCAUCAAAUGUUUGAACGCAAAUGGCGCUUUUGCUAACCGCAAGAGCACGUCUCUAGGAGAGUCGUUUUUCCCCUCCUCUUUUCUCCACUUUCGGGUGGAAAAAAAGAGGGAAAAUGGGUUGUUUCUCGAGUCAAAUCAAGAAUCACCUGAAUACCAUAGAGCUCUUCUUGUGUCGAUUCUGGAUGGUUUUCAUUUCUAUCCCUUGGUACACAUCACAACAACAUUCACUUGGAGCAAACAGUGGAUAUUGCCUGAAUAAGGCUUUCCUAUUGUUUUUGCGCCAAUGAACAUACAAAUGAUGGCAAGGGAAUUCAGAAGAACCAUUACCCCAAACAAAUCACCAAGAAAUCUCAUCCAACCAAACAAAUCAUAACCUUUCUUAAAAUUAGAAGACCUCCUAUGAAACGAGAGAACCCGCUGAACUUAAGCAUAUUAUUAAGCGGAGGAAAAGAAACUAACAAGGAUCCCGUCAGUAACGGCGAGUGAAGCCGGGAGAGCUCAAGCCGAAAUCUGCAGGUCUCGCGACCUCGCUAGAAUUGUGGCCUCGAGACACGUUGUCAUGGUGGCAGCCAGAGCCAAGUCCGCUGGAACGCGGCAUCAAAGAGGGUGAGAAUCCCGUCUCUGCUCUGGCCUUUUCUUCACAGCCCCAGUCCGACACGUGUUCACAGAGUCGUGUUGCUUGGGAGUGCAGCACAAAUUGGGUGGUACACGUCAUCCAAAGCUAAAUAUGGGCGAGAGACCGAUAGCGAACAAGUACCGUGAGGGAAAGAUGAAAAGCACUUGGAAACGAGAGUGAAAUAGAGCUUGAAAUUGUUGCGAGGAAAGCACUGGUGAAGGUUUAUUCGUGUCGUGGUGGGUUUGAAGUGGCUGGUUGUUUGAGGUGGGGGGGCGAGCUUUAAACCGCUCCCUUGUCACAAAUCAAUCAGACUAAAUACUUCCAUCACGACACCGCUGGCAUCGCUUUGGUAACUAGAGUUGGAGAAACUCGGGACGAAGGUAGCGGAUCUGCCUGCAACAAGCUCGCCAUGAUCCGAAUCAUACAGCGUCUCGAGCAAUACAACGACCCAGAGCGACCCUCUUCAUUUGCAGAGGAAAACUUGAGUGAGAGCUGGAGGCUUCAGGUGUGUUACGUCGAAAUUGGUUCAAUGAUCCCGUUUUGGCGUGGCAUUCUUCCGGGCCUUCCUCCAACACCAAGUCAAGCCGGCGCAACUUUUUGAAAAAAGCCCACCAAUAUCCCGUCUUGAAACACGGACCAAGGAGUCUAACGUGUGUGCGAGUAUUUGAGUGAUUCAAGCUCGAAUGCGUAGUGAAAGCAAGCGUGACGUACGUCUCGUGAGGUGUGAUUGUGCGUGUCCUUAAAAAACAACGUACAAGCAACAUCGGCCGCCCUCGGUGUUGAGGAGUGAAGCACGAGCAUACGCGUUGGGACCCGAAAGAUGGUGAUCUAUGCUUGGGCAGGGUGAAGCCAGGGGAAACCCUGGUGGAGGCUCGUAGCGGUACUGACGUGCAAAUCGUUCGUCGGAUCUGAGUAUAGGGGCGAAAGACUAAUCGAACCAUCUAGUAGCUGGUUCCCUC
rnacentral:misc_RNA from 1 species